UACGUAGGGUGCAAGCGUUGUCCGGAAUUAUUGGGCGUAAAGAGCUCGUAGGCGGUUUGUCGCGUCUGCUGUGAAAUCCCAGGGCUUAACCCUGGGCCUGCAGUGGGUACGGGCAAACUAGAGUGCGGUAGGGGAGGUCGGAAUUCCUGGUGUAGCGGUGAAAUGCGCAGAUAUCAGGAGGAACACCGGUGGCGAAGGCGGAUCUCUGGGCCGUAACUGACGCUGAGGAGCGAAAGCAUGGGUAGCGAACAGG
rnacentral:rRNA from 1 species